rnacentral:rRNA from 1 species
UGUCGACUUGGAGGUUGUGCCCUUGAGGCGUGGCUUCCGGAGCUAACGCGUUAAGUCGACCGCCUGGGGAGUACGGCCGCAAGGUUAAAACUCAAAUGAAUUGACGGGGGCCCGCACAAGCGGUGGAGCAUGUGGUUUAAUUCGAUGCAACGCGAAGAACCUUACCUACUCUUGACAUCCACAGAAUUCGGCAGAGAUGCCUUAGUGCCUUCGGGAACUGUGAGACAGGUGCUGCAUGGCUGUCGUCAGCUCGUGUUGUGAAAUGUUGGGUUAAGUCCCGCAACGAGCGCAACCCUUAUCCUUUGUUGCCAGCACGUAAUGGUGGGAACUCAAAGGAGACUGCCGGUGAUAAACCGGAGGAAGGUGGGGAUGACGUCAAGUCAUCAUGGCCCUUACGAGUAGGGCUACACACGUGCUACAAUGGCGUAUACAAAGAGAAGCGAACUCGCGAGAGCCAGCGGACCUCAUAAAGUACGUCGUAGUCCGGAUCGGAGUCUGCAACUCGACUCCGUGAAGUCGGAAUCGCUAGUAAUCGUAGAUCAGAAUGCUACGGUGAAUACGUUCCCGGGCCUUGCACUCAGCGCCCGUCA